GGACCCCACGGCUGAGCUUGAGAGAACCGCUUAUGGACCACCAGGUUGUAGCAGCCCUACUGGAUACAUGAACAUGCCCCUGUCAGUGGCCCAUCAAGAGCUGCAGUCAGGAGAGGAAGACCAGUAUGAUGCAGAUCACCUGCGCCGUAUUGCUCGCAGCCUGAGUGGAACUGUGAUAGGGAGACGCCAGAACCGCCUUGCCGUCUCCCGAAGUUUCGACGUCUCCAGAGGUUCUCCAAGUUUCUGGCUGUGUUUGACUGGCGUCAAACUGUCUCCAGUGGGAAGCACUACGGUCCAGCACUGAGGUGUCCCAACCAAUUGGCUUUGGAUGCAACCAGGUACUCCAGCCCUGGAAGGUUUCCACAGAUGCAUUUGUUCCUCUGGACAACCUUUCUGCACACCAGUCCCAUUCUCUUCACAGUUUCCUGGAGAACUAGAAGGAGCACGUUCCAAAACCUGAUGCCAUCCAUCCUCAGUCACCCUGCACUCUGUAUUGGUCCUGGGAUGAUGUCCUUCCGUUACCUUGCGCUAGUUGGUAAAUCUUUCCAUGCAAAAGCCCCCAAAGCUCGAUCCACAGCAUGCUGGAAAGAGACACAGAAACCAACUUUUUUUUCCCACGAGCACUAGUAUGGUGUGAUGCUUUGGGGCUCAGGUGUGUGUGUAUGACUAACCUAUGGUCAGACUUGCAGCAUGCAAUGAUAGGAGCGUGGGGUCCAGACUCGGACCCCCCGCAGUGAGCCAUCCAACCCAAAGCACUUAACUUCAAUUAACUGCAGAGGAGAAUCAUACGGUACCUCCAUGCUGCACUAAACAGUAAAUGUGUGUUUGUGUGUAUGCGUGUGUGCAUGUGUUGGGUAGUAAAAUGAAAGGGGCUUAUUGUAACCCUGCCCUCUUUGACUUUUACAGUACUGGUAAAAAGUUUGGAAAAAAUAAGAUUUUUAAAUAUUUUCAAAGACAUCUCUUAUGCUCACUGUAUUUAUUUGGUCAAAAACACAGUGAAAACUGUAAUAUUAUUACAGUUUAAUAUAACUUUUUUUUCUCAUUGAUGGCAAAGCUGAAUUUUCAUCAGCCAUUACUCCAGUCUUUAGAGUCACACGAUCCAUCAUAAAUCAUUCUAAUAUGUUGAUUUGCUACUCAAACAUUUCUUGUUAUCAAUAUUAAAAAAGGUUGUGCUACUUCAUAUGUUUCUUGAGCACCUCAUCAGCAUAUUAAAAUAAUUCCUUAAGGAUCAUGUGACACUGAAGACUGGAAUUAUGGCUGCUGAAAAUUCAGCUUUGCCAUCACAGGAAUAAAUAACUUUUUAAAAUAUAUUUAAAGGCACAAUAUGUAGGAUUUUUGGAUUAAAAAAUCCAAAAAUCACUAGAACAAUUUUAUAUAUUUUGUUGACUAUUAUCCCAAAUGUUUCCAAGAAUGUUUAAAUCCAGAGAAAUAAGCAAUUUUAACCAGAACACGGGCCGUGUCCAUGCGUCGCCUAUCAAUGACAUCAUACCUGCGUUACCCUCGGUUUCAUACCUGGUUUUAUUUUGUAGAAACCAUGGAAACACCAAAGACGCUUUAGUAUAUUAUGUGUUUUAUUAGACAGUUGAGCAACUGUUUGGAUAUAUUUAUUGACAGAAAACUAAUCAUGUUAUAUAGCUCAACACAGUACGUCUUUUAUUGUUUAAAUCUCGUUUUCUUGAUUUACAGCGAGUACCAUGUUUUACCAUGCCUAAUAUCAAUCUAGCUUACUGCAGUGUGCAACAAGUGUCUCAUAGCAGCCGCCGAGCGAACGCAGAGUAGCAUUAUAACAACUUUCAGCACACAAAUGUAUCUAAUGUGAUAAAACAGCGCUGCGAUACCCUACAUACUCAUGACCGAAAGAAGCAGAAGUGGCGACUGCGGCUUAAUAAAAUCUCUACUGCUCUCGAGCCGUGUGUCACGCUCGUCUCUCUUAUUAGCAAUCGCUCCAGCGGCUCGUUCUCUCAAAGCACUCGGCCCUGCUUCAUACUACAGUAAUGUUAAUAAUCUCAUCCGUGAACAUGAUUUCUGCCCGAGUCCCAUCCCGAUUCUUAUCCACCGGCUGUAGACGUGAAGACAACAACUCCCAUGAUUCCGCAAAAUCAAGGCGUCAUCAAUCUACGCCUUUGUUUUGAUUAAGCGACCUCUAGCGGCGAAAUUGUACAUAUUGUGGCUUUAAAUAGAAAACAGUUAUUUUAAAUUGCAAUAAUAUUUCACAAUAUUACAGUUUUUACUGUAGUUUUAAUCUAAUAAAUGCAGCCUUGAUGAGUAUUAGAGACUUCUUUAAAAAAUAAAUAAAAAACAAAAACUAAAAUUCCAAACUUUUGACCAGUAGUGUAUUGAAAAACACACUUUACUUUUCCUCCUCGCCUGUCCUACAGAUGCAAAUCCUCAGCAAACCAAUGUCCCGGAAUCGUCGCUUUGCUGAACUUCUUUUCCCAACUCUCCUGCAAACUUUUUUUGGUAGCGGGUGGGUUAAUGUCAUGUAGUUGCUAAGUACUUUAACCUGUACUAAGUGAAUAGAGAUGUUUUGUACGGUGUCAUCUCUCAGCUCUGGUGCUUUUUGUCGGAGCAGGCAUGUAAAUCUGCGGCCCUGGCGUGGAGAAUGGAACGAGACUGUCUCUUCUAACCUUUUUCCUCCUACUUCUCUGAUACGGGCAUUCCCUGUAGCACACAGCUGUUUUGUGUCUCGUGUUACAGGCAAAGACUGUGUACAUGUUUGACUGAACAUACACUAAUAAAUAAAUUUAUUGUUGAUAAAAAACAUAAAAACUAUGACAUCUUAAGAAAUAUACAGAGGAAUGGAGAAACUACGUAAUGACGUUAUGGAAUGUUAAUCAAUUCUAGUGGUAAUAAUUAUUAUCUGCAUUAAGACAAGUAUAGUACACUUCAGAAGUGUAAAGCUGGAGAAAAUCUGCUAUUUUAAUUCCAUUGACAGUUCUCCCAUUUAUACAGGGAGAUAUGCCAAGUUAAGCUUCCUUUUUAUUGUUUAUUUUACGAUUCGAUUUUUAUUUUAACUUGCAGUGACACUGAAACCACAGUUAUGAGUCUGGCACAUGAUGGAUCUUCAGGCCUGUAAUAGUUGAAGGGUCUCAUCCCAUUCGAUUUUGUAGAAUAUGCAUUGUUUCUAAUAGAUUUUACUUUCAAGCAACACAGCUGAAGAAUGUUUGGCCUUGAUAGAGUACAGUACAUGAAGCUUAUGCAAAGCUUCACUAGACUGAAAUUUGGACAGUAAGGGGCCUUGUGCAAGGAAUGCUUUCAUACUGUUAUUCAAAUAAGAUUUGUGAGAUAUAUUAACGAAAAUCUAAUACUGAACAACAGAUGUUGUAUCACAAUAUAAUAUGAUUAAUGCAGUAUUUAACUUUAUUCAUUCUAAUCAUAUUGUGCUGUGAUAUGUAUUUUUUUUUCAUUAAAAGCCUCUGAGUGCUAAAUAUAAUUUAUUAUAAAAUAUAUAACUUAAAGAGAAAUAGAUCUUAUUUAACUUUGUCUUAACCAAAGAUUGGCUCUAACACAAAGAUAUGUUUUUUUUUUUUUUUUUGGUCAUUUAUUCAUCUUUACUUUUGUUUAAAGGAUGUUUGAGAAUGUAGCAAAGGUGGUGUAUGAGUAUGCUAUGCAAAAUGCUCUCUCCUGAUCUACCAGCAAAGAGUCAGACUGGGACAAAAUCAAAUAUUUUUUCUUCUUUUCUUUUCCUAUAUACUGGGGAAGAAAAUGAUUUCCUGCUGAAUUGUUGAAUCUUUACUUAUUAAUGUCUGUACAGUUAACAGCCUUUGAAUGCGAGUUGUAGCCAGUGGGAGGUGGAUUUCUCAAAGAUGAAAUGGCAUUUCAAGGGUUUUCCAUUUCGGGACUCGUUUGUAAAUGCUUGAGGUUGAGUGAACUUGUAUUUUUGCAAUAAAGUUAUUACCAAUGCACUCCAGCAGGGGCGCUGCACAAACGCCUA